ACUACUCCUAAACACAACCCACCAUCACUGUGUCUCAUGUUAAUACUACUCCUAAACACAACCCACCAUCACUGUGUCUCAUGUUAAUACUACUCCUAAACACAACCCACCAUCACUGUGUCUCAUGUUAAUACUACUCCUAAACACAACCCACCAUCACUGUGUCUCAUGUUAAUACUACUCCUAAACACAACCCACCAUCACUGUGUCUCAUGUUAAUACUACUCCUAAACACAACCCACCAUCACUGUGUCUCAUGUUAAUACUACUCCUAAACACAACCCACCAUCACUGUGUCUCAUGUUAAUACUACUCCUAAACACAACCCACCAUCACUGUGUCUCAUGUUAAUACUACUCCUAAACACAACCCACCAUCACUGUGUCUCAUGUUAAUACUACUCCUAAACACAACCCACUAUCACUGUCUCAUGUUAAUACUACUCCUAAACACAACCCACUAUCACUGUCUCAUGUUAAUACUACUCCUAAACACAACCCACUAUCACUGUCUCAUGUUAAUACUACUCCUAAACACAACCCACCAUCACUGUGUCUCAUGUUAAUACUACUCCUAAACACAACCCACCAUCACUGUGUCUCAUGUUAAUACUACUCCUAAACACAACCCACCAUCACUGUGUCUCAUGUUAAUACUACUCCUAAACACAACCCACCAUCACUGUGUCUCAUGUUAAUACUACUCCUAAACACAACCCACCAUCACUGUGUCUCAUGUUAAUACUACUCCUAAACACAACCCACCAUCACUGUGUCUCAUGUUAAUACUACUCCUAAACACAACCCACCAUCACUGUGUCUCAUGUUAAUACUACUCCUAAACACAACCCACCAUCACUGUGUCUCAUGUUAAUACUACUCCUAAACACAACCCACCAUCACUGUCUCAUGUUAAUACUACUCCUAAACACAACCCACCAUCACUGUCUCAUGUUAAUACUACUCCUAAACACAACCCACCAUCACUGUGUCUCAUGUUAAUACUACUCCUAAACACAACCCACCAUCACUGUGUCUCAUGUUAAUACUACUCCUAAACACAACCCACCAUCACUGUCUCAUGUUAAUACUACUCCUAAACACAACCCACCAUCACUGUGUCUCAUGUUAAUACUACUCCUAAACACAACCCACCAUCACUGUGUCUUAGGUUAAUACUACUCCUAAACACAACCCACCAUCACUGUGUCUCAUGUUAAUACUACUCCUAAACACAACCCACCAUCACUGUGUCUCAUGUUAAUACUACUCCUAAACACAACCCACCAUCACUGUGUCUCAUGUUAAUACUACUCCUAAACACAACCCACCAUCACUGUGUCUCAUGUUAAUACUACUCCUAAACACAACCCACCAUCACUGUGUCUCAUGUUAAUA